rnacentral:rRNA from 1 species
UACGGAGGGUGCAAGCGUUGCUCGGAAUUAUUGGGCGUAAAGGGUAGGUAGGUGGUCUUAUUUGUCAGAGGUGAAAGCCUUGGGCUUAACCCGAGAAGUGCCUCUGAAACGGUAAGACUGGAGUCCUGGAGAGGGUCGUGGAAUUCCCGGUGUAGCGGUGAAAUGCGUAGAGAUCGGGAGGAACACCAGAGGCGAAGGCGGCGACCUGGACAGGUACUGACACUCAACUACGAAAGCGUGGGGAGCAAACAGG